CGCGGGGUGGAGCAGCCUGGUAGCUCGUCGGGCUCAUAACCCGAAGGUCGGGGGUUCGAAUCCCCCCCCCGCUA
rnacentral:tRNA from 1 species